rnacentral:misc_RNA from 1 species
AAACAAUAUCUGCAUCACUCGGCUUCACUAGUGUGUCUUGCUUACAUACGUCAAACAAAGGUUGCAAGCUUUUUACAUGGCAUUUUCUUCGUUUAACACAACUUGAAUAAGCGUUCAAGGUUGAAAUUUCAGUACCUCCAAAGACGGUAUUCUCUUGUGCUCUCUGCAAUAGUUUUUCAUCAACACAGUUGUUUCUUUUAUGUUGUAUACAAAGAUACAAAUAAAACCUAGGGGAAACUUGGAAGAAUGAGUCAAAUCCCGCAGCACGUAGUAA